rnacentral:rRNA from 1 species
UACGUAGGGUGCGAGCGUUAAUCGGAAUUACUGGGCGUAAAGCGUGCGCAGGCGGUUUUGUAAGUCUGACGUGAAAUCCCCGGGCUCAACCUGGGAAUGGCGUUGGAGACUGCAAGGCUGGAAUCUGGCAGAGGGGGGUAGAACUCCACGUGUAGCAGUGAAAUGCGUAGAGAUGUGGAGGAACACCGAUGGCGAAGGCAGCCCCCUGGGUCAAGAUUGACGCUCAUGCACGAAAGCGUGGGGAGCAAACAGG